rnacentral:ncRNA from 2 species
AAACAACACGAGGGGUGUCCCUGCAUUUAUGCUGGGGCUGAGAUGUGCUUGCACUAUCCCUUUGAACCUGUAAGUUCAUACUUGCGUAGGAACGUGUUCAAUUCGGACC